rnacentral:rRNA from 1 species
AGAGUUUGAUCCUGGCUCAGGAUGAACGCUAGCGGCAGGCUUAACACAUGCAAGUCGAGGGGCAGCAUAAUGGAUAGCAAUAUCUAUGGUGGCGACCGGCGCACGGGUGCGUAACGCGUAUGCAACCUACCUUUAACAGGGGGAUAACACUGAGAAAUUGGUACUAAUACCCCAUAAUAUCAUAGAAGGCAUCUUUUAUGGUUGAAAAUUCCGAUGGUUAGAGAUGGGCAUGCGUUGUAUUAGCUAGUUGGUGGGGUAACGGCUCACCAAGGCGACGAUACAUAGGGGGACUGAGAGGUUAACCCCCCACACUGGUACUGAGACACGGACCAGACUCCUACGGGAGGCAGCAGUGAGGAAUAUUGGUCAAUGGACGCAAGUCUGAACCAGCCAUGCCGCGUGCAGGAAGACGGCUCUAUGAGUUGUAAACUGCUUUUGUACGAGGGUAAACGCUCUUACGUGUAAGAGCCUGAAAGUAUCGUACGAAUAAGGAUCGGCUAACUCCGUGCCAGCAGCCGCGGUAAUACGGAGGAUCCAAGCGUUAUCCGGAUUUAUUGGGUUUAAAGGGUGCGUAGGCGGUUUGAUAAGUUAGAGGUGAAAUUUCGGGGCUCAACCCUGAACGUGCCUCUAAUACUGUUGAGCUAGAGAGUAGUUGCGGUAGGCGGAAUGUAUGGUGUAGCGGUGAAAUGCUUAGAGAUCAUACAGAACACCGAUUGCGAAGGCAGCUUACCAAACUAUAUCUGACGUUGAGGCACGAAAGCGUGGGGAGCAAACAGGAUUAGAUACCCUGGUAGUCCACGCAGUAAACGAUGAUAACUCGUUGUCGGCGAUACACAGUCGGUGACUAAGCGAAAGCGAUAAGUUAUCCACCUGGGGAGUACGUUCGCAAGAAUGAAACUCAAAGGAAUUGACGGGGGCCCGCACAAGCGGAGGAACAUGUG